AAGGCGCGCGAUACAGGGUGACAGCCCCGUACACAAAAAUGCACAUACUGUGAGCUCGAUGAGUAGGGCGGGACACGUGGUAUCCUGUCUGAAUAUGGGGGGACCAUCCUCCAAGGCUAAAUACUCCUGACUGACCGAUAGUGAACCAGUACCGUGAGGGAAAGGCGAAAAGAACCCCGGCGAGGGGAGUGAAAAAGAACCUGAAACCGUGUACGUACAAGCAGUGGGAGCACGCUUAGGCGUGUGACUGCGUACCUUUUGUAUAAUGGGUCAGCGACUUAUAUUCUGUAGCAAGGUUAACCGAAUAGGGGAGCCGAAGGGAAACCGAGUCUUAACUGGGCGUUAAGUUGCAGGGUAUAGACCCGAAACCCGGUGAUCUAGCCAUGGGCAGGUUGAAGGUUGGGUAACACUAACUGGAGGACCGAACCGACUAAUGUUGAAAAAUUAGCGGAUGACUUGUGGCUGGGGGUGAAAGGCCAAUCAAACCGGGAGAUAGCUGGUUCUCCCCGAAAGCUAUUUAGGUAGCGCCUCGUGAAUUCAUCUCCGGGGGUAGAGCACUGUUUCGGCAAGGGGGUCAUCCCGACUUACCAACCCGAUGCAAACUGCGAAUACCGGAGAAUGUUAUCACGGGAGACACACGGCGGGUGCUAACGUCCGUCGUGAAGAGGGAAACAACCCAGACCGCCAGCUAAGGUCCCAAAGUCAUGGUUAAGUGGGAAACGAUGUGGGAAGGCCCAGACAGCCAGGAUGUUGGCUUAGAAGCAGCCAUCAUUUAAAGAAAGCGUAAUAGCUCACUGGUCGAGUCGGCCUGCGCGGAAGAUGUAACGGGGCUAAACCAUGCAC
rnacentral:rRNA from 1 species